GCAUGUCUAAAGCUUCAGACUUUGUGGAGAAUGAUACAGGCAAAACAAAAUUAUCAUGAUUUAUAUAAAAGUGCAGUUAUUUGCAUAAGUGCUGGAAAGGGAUUCUUGAUGAGGAAAAGAUAUUAUUCUUUCUUUUUGCUUGCAAAAAAGAAGAAAACAUGCAGGAAAUUGCAAAUAUGGUGGAAGAACUUAAUGAAUAGAAAAACCUCAAU